rnacentral:rRNA from 1 species
GGCGAGUUUGAUCAUGGCUCAGGACGAACGCUGGCGGCGUGCUUUACACAUGCAAGUCGAACGGUGAACCGGUGCUUGCACCGGGGAUCAGUGGCGAACGGGUGAGUAACACGUGAGCAAUCUGCCCCUAACUCUGGGAUAACUGCGGGAAACCGCAGCUAAUACCGGAUACGACCCAGGGAGGCAUCUUCACUGGGUGGAAAGUUUUUCGGUUAGGGAUGAGCUCGCGGCCUAUCAGCUUGUUGGUGGGGUAAUGGCCUACCAAGGCGACGACGGGUAGCCGGCCUGAGAGGGCGACCGGCCACACUGGGACUGAGACACGGCCCAGACUCCUACGGGAGGCAGCAGUGGGGAAUAUUGCACAAUGGGCGAAAGCCUGAUGCAGCGACGCCGCGUGAGGGACGAAGGCCUUCGGGUUGUAAACCUCUUUCAGCAGGGAAGAAGCGAAAGUGACGGUACCUGCAGAAGAAGCACCGGCUAACUACGUGCCAGCAGCCGCGGUAAUAA